ensembl:rRNA 5S_rRNA 5S ribosomal RNA
UCCUAUGGCCAUACCAUCCUGAACGUGCCCAAUCUCAUCUGAUCUCAAAAGCUAAGCAGGGUCGGGUCUGGUUAGUACUUAGAAGGGAGAUAAAAAAUAUCAGUUGGAA